GACGAACGCUGGCGGCGUGCUUAACACAUGCAAGUCGAACGAUGACGCCCGAGCUUGCUCGGUCUGAUUAGUGGCGAACGGGUGAGUAACACGUGAGCAACCUGCCCUUCACUCUGGGAUAACCUCGGGAAAUCGGGGCUAAUACCGGAUAUGAGCUCCUGUCGCAUGGUGGGUGUUGGAAAGUUUUUCGGUGGGGGAUGGGCUCGCGGCCUAUCAGUUUGUUGGUGUGGUAGUGGCUAACCAAGGCGAUGACGGGUAGCCGGCCUGAGAGGGCGACCGGCCACACUGGGACUGAGACACGGCCCAGACUCCUACGGGAGGCAGCAGUGGGGAAUAUUGCACAAUGGGCGGAAGCCUGAUGCAGCGACGCCGCGUGAGGGAUGACGGCCUUCGGGUUGUAAACCUCUUUCGGCAGAGACGAAGCGAAAGUGACGGUACCGGCAGAAGAAGCGCCGGCUAACUACGUG
rnacentral:rRNA from 1 species